rnacentral:rRNA from 1 species
AACGUAGGGGGCGAGCGUUGUCCGGAAUUACUGGGCGUAAAGAGCUCGUAGGCGGUUUGUCGCGUCUGCCGUGAAAGUCCGGGGCUCAACUCCGGAUCUGCGGUGGGUACGGGCAGACUAGAGUGAUGUAGGGGAGACUGGAAUUCCUGGUGUAGCGGUGAAAUGCACAGAUAUCAGGAGGAACACCGAUGGCGAAGGCAGGUCUCUGGGCAUUAACUGACGCUGAGGAGCGAAAGCAUGGGGAGCGAACAGG